AUUGAACGCUGGCGGCAUGCCUUACACAUGCAAGUCGAACGGCAGCACGGGAGCAAUCCUGGUGGCGAGUGGCGAACGGGUGAGUAAUAUAUCGGAACGUGCCCAGUCGUGGGGAUAACGUAGCGAAAGCUACGCUAAUACCGCAUACGAUCUAUGGAUGAAAGCGGGGGGAUCGCAAGACCUCGCGCGAUUGGAGCGGCCGAUAUCAGAUUAGGUAGUUGGUGAGGUAAAGGCUCACCAAGCCGACGAUCUGUAGCUGGUCUGAGAGGACGACCAGCCACACUGGGACUGAGACACGGCCCAGACUCCUACGGGAGGCAGCAGUGGGGGAAUUUUUGGGACAAUGGGCGCAAGCCUGAUCCAGCAAUGCCGCGUGCAGGAUGAAGGCCUUC
rnacentral:rRNA from 1 species